CCAAAGGUCGAUGGAAGGAGGCUAUUUCUCCUCCACUUGCAGCCAGAGGUGAGUUCCAGCCUCUCCCAAGUUGACUUUCAUGUUUUCCAUGUUUUUCACCAAAUCUUUCAAGGGUUUUAAGAGUUUUGGUGUGUUUUGAAGGUUUUGAGCAAAACUAGCAAGUUUGGAAGUUUGGAGCUUUGGAAGAGGUUUUCUUCAUAUCUCCACGUUAGGAUCACUCAUCCUCAAGUUCUUCAGGAGGUAAGGGUGGAUCCUGAACUUCUUUGCUGAUUUUUAACGGUUUUAUGAAAGUUUGAUGGGUAGUAUGUAUGAUUAGGUUUAGG
rnacentral:lncRNA from 1 species